UAAGCACCUCGUUAGGCGAGGCGUCUGCACGGAUAUAGGCCACUGACCCCGAACGUCGAGAGACGCCCAGGGUCAGGACAGCUCCUCCCGGCUUAAGGGUUGAGCCCAAGUGGCUUCCGGGUUACCCGGAUACGCCGUGUAGUGCCGAAGCUCUGACGAGUGGGGUGCGGU
rnacentral:sRNA from 1 species